CACAGAGUUCUUCUGACCAUCCUAUGAAAGAGGGCAGGAUGGUCAGAAGGACUUUAUGACGUCAUAGGUGGCUCGUGACGUCAUUUACGGAUUUUCUAUAAAUAGGAGCACAGGCUUGAUCGCAGGCGGAGAUUUGUACUCAUAUCUGGAAUAUGGUGAUUUCUGAGCGUGAGCAGGUGGACUCUAGUAGCUCCAGGCGGGUGGACUAUCUUGAAACCUUUCAAAACUAUUUGGGGAAUAUUGUGGAUGGUAUAUUUAUUGGCUUGGGAUAUUGUGUGUGUGGGUUUUUUUACGCAGCCCUUUACGGGAUGGCGUGCGUUGUUAGAUUCCUUAAUAAUCUAUGAGAAAGAGUUAGGAAACGGAGGGGGUUGAGCUCUAUUUACGACGCUGAUGUGAUGCUCACAGCUCCAUCGGUUAAAUGUCUGUGGCAGUUUAUUUACUCACUGGCACGGAGUCGCACAGACGUCCUAACCUGAAGCUCAAACGACGUCCACGUGCUGCCCAGGCGACUGCAUCUCCCCCUCAUCGCUCUCUCCCGCUCCCGCGGGAACUUCUGCCUUUCUCCCUCCUCCCCUCUGUCUGUCUAUCCUUCUCCCCUCUGUCUGCUGACUUUCAAAAAAAAAAAAAAAAUAAAUAAAUAAACGUCCUUGUACGAAAACCAUUCAUUCCAAGCAAGGUAGUUUAUGGGAGGUAAAUCCUGUCAAACAUAAAACUGAAAUGCAAAUACCAAAGGCGUAGGAGCGGGAUUGACAUUGGGGGACACACAUUUGUUAAUAUGAAUCAAAGCCCUCCCUAGGGACUAAGAACAAAGUUUGUGGAAUUACAUUUAAUCACAAAUAAACAAAAUAUUUUUUUUCUGUACUUCUGUUUAUUAUUAAUUCAAUCCAAAUUAAGGUAACCUUACAACCUAAAUAUUUCACUCAAAAUUACAUUUACUGUUGUUAGAAAUUACUUUUCGUUCAAUGUCUGAAUUAUAUACACAUAUGACCAAAACUGAUCAGUUAUCAUAUUUAAAAUAAUAUAACAACAUAUUUGGUUAUUAUUAUUAUUAUUAUUAUUAUUAUUAUUAUUAUUAUUAGCAUUAUUAUUAGCAUUAGCAUGUUGUCACGCAGCCUGACUCUCCUUCCACACCUCUGGACUCCACUUCCCAGAAUCCUUUGGGUUAUGACGUCACCGUCAGUCGCUCGCCUUCGCCCAAUCACGUUACGCUCCGGCGCUCAGACUCACCUGUGUUCUGAGGAAGGUCCGGGUUAUGCUCUCUGUUUUUCUGUAUUUAAGGUCGCACUGUGUAAUGUAUCUUCGCGAGGUAUUGUCGACUUAUGUUGCGUACUAAGCGGUUUCUUCCUGUUCUUUAGUGAUGGGCAGAUGAAGCCUCAUUGGGUGUAUGGCACAUUUCCCAAACUGUGUCGACACUGUGUUGAAACUGUGUUGCUGUAUCACUUAAUGGCGACAUCUGCUGGACUAAGAAAGUCAUUGCAAGCAACUGCGCGAGAAAACGCAUCGGUCACGUGGUUUUCCUUAAAAUGAUACGCGGUCCGGCUUAAUGUGAAAAAAAAAACAAUAUUAGCAAUGAAUAUUAAAUAACAGAUUUAUUAGACCUAUUGCAUCUGGUUUUGAUUACUUACAACGGCCAAGUUGUGGGUAAGGUCUUCAGAAUGGGAAAACGACCUUGACCAUGACCUUUUAAUGUCAAAAUCACCUAACAUGGUCAUAACAAUAUCAGAAAUGAAUUCCUCAUACCAUAAUUAGUCUAAAUUGAGGUAUUAUAUGUGUAUAUACAUUCAGAAACAAAAAAGUUCUAUUUUCAUCAUAGACGAUGGCAGCCAUAU